AAAAAAAACGGAGAAGACGAGCUUCGACUAAAACAACAAGAUUUGUUUUUCUUGGCCAACUCUCACGUGUUAGCGGAAAGUUACCAAAAUAUGUUAAGGACUUAAUUCAGGGAUAAUGUUGCUAAACGAUUUACAGUCGAUAAUCUUUCGAAAGCAGAAAAACUCAGGUUAGCAUCAAAUAGAAAGUUAGCGCAAUUUCUGGUAUUUGUGUGUCAAACAAAGAAUACGCGAAUUAUUUGAGAUAUGAUUGAAAUUUGCAAAGAAAGUAAAAAUCAAAGUAGUUUCAUUCUAAGUUAUUGUACAUAAUUUUAAAAUUUUUGGAAUAGAAGUGAUGCAAUGUUUAUUUA
rnacentral:lncRNA from 1 species